AGUCAACAUGCCCAGGGGACGUGGAUAACCUCGGGAAACUGAGGAUAAACCACGAUAGGUCAUCACUUCUGGAAUGGGUAAUGACUUAAAUCUAUAUGGCCCCUGGAUUGGACUGCGGCCGAUCAGGCUGUUGGUGAGGUAAUGGCCCACCAAACCUGUAACCGGUACGGGCUCUGAGAGGAGGAGCCCGGAGAUGGGCACUGAGACAAGGGCCCAGGCCCUAUGGGGCGCAGCAGGCGCGAAACCUCUGCAAUAGGCGAAAGCUUGACAGGGUUACUCUGAGUGAUUUCCGUUAAGGAGAUCUUUUGGCACCUCUAAAAAUGGUGCAGAAUAAGGGGUGGGCAAGUCUGGUGUCAGCCGCCGCGGUAAUACCAGCACCCCGAGUGGUCGGGACGUUUAUUGGGCCUAAAGCAUCCGUAGCCGGUUCUACAAGUCUUCCGUUAAAUCCACCUGCUUAACAGAUGGGCUGCGGAAGAUACUAUAGAGCUAGGAGGCGGGAGAGGCAAGCGGUACUCGAUGGGUAGGGGUAAAAUCCGUUGAUCCAUUGAAGACCACCAGUGGCGAAGGCGGCUUGCCAGAACGCGCUCGACGGUGAGGGAUGAAAGCUGGGGGAGCAAACCGGAUUAGAUACCCGGGUAGUCCCAGCUGUAAACGAUGCAGACUCGGUGAUGAGUUGGCUUAUUGCUAACUCAGUGCCGCAGGGAAGCCGUUAGUUUGCCGCCUGGGGAGUACGGUCGCAAGACUGAAACUUAA
rnacentral:rRNA from 1 species